CAAGACGGAAAGACCCCGUGAACCUUUACUAUAGCUUGACACUGAACCUUGAGCCUUGAUGUGUAGGAUAGGUGGGAGGCUUUGAAGCGUGGACGCCAGUCUGCGUGGAGCCAACCUUGAAAUACCACCCUUUAAUGUUUGAUGUUCUAACGUGGACCCGUGAUCCGGGUUGCGGACAGUGUCUGGUGGGUAGUUUGACUGGGGCGGUCUCCUCCCAAAGCGUAACGGAGGAGCACGAAGGUUAGCUAAUCCUGGUCGGACAUCAGGAGGUUAGUGCAAAGGCAUAAGCUAGCUUGACUGCGAGAGUGACAGCUCGAGCAGGUGCGAAAGCAGGUCUUAGUGAUCCGGUGGUUCUGAAUGGAAGGGCCAUCGCUCAACGGAUAAAAGGUACUCCGGGGAUAACAGGCUGAUACCGCCCAAGAGUUCAUAUCGACGGCGGUGUUUGGCACCUCGAUGUCGGCUCAUCACAUCCUGGGGCUGAAGUAGGUCCCAAGGGUAUGGCUGUUCGCCAUUUAAAGUGGUACGCGAGCUGGGUUUAGAACGUCGUGAGACAGUUCGGUCCCUAUCUGCCGUGGGCGUUGGAAGAUUGAGAGGGGUUGCUCCUAGUACGAGAGGACCGGAGUGAACGCACCACUGGUGUACGGGUUGUGAUGCCAAUUGCAUUGCCCGGUAGCUAAGUGCGGAAGAGAUAACCGCUGAAAGCAUCUAAGCGGGAAACUUGCCUCGAGAUGAGUCUUCCCUGGGCACUAGAUGCCCCUGAAGGGCCGUUGAAGACGACGACGUAGAUAGGCUGGGUGUGUAAGCGUAGCGAUACGUUGAGCUAACCAGUACUAAUGACCCGAGAGGCUUAACCUUACAACACCGAAGGUGUUU
rnacentral:rRNA from 2 species